GUGAGGAAUAUUGGUCAAUGGGCGCAAGCCUGAACCAGCCAUCCCGCGUGAAGGAAGAAUGCGCUAUGCGUUGUAAACUUCUUUUCCGGAGGAAUAAAAUCCUGUACGUGUACAGGACUGAAGGUACUCCGGGAAUAAGCAUCGGCUAACUCCGUGCCAGCAGCCGCGGUAAUACGGAGGAUGCAAGCGUUAUCCGGAUUUAUUGGGUUUAAAGGGUGCGUAGGCGGAUUAAUAAGUCAGCGGUGAAAACCUUCAGCUUAACUGGAGACUUGCCAUUGAUACUGUUAGUCUUGAGUAUGGUUAAGGUAGGCGGAAUGUGUAAUGUAGCGGUGAAAUGCUUAGAUAUUACACAGAACACCAAUUGCGAAGGCAGCUUACUGAGCCAUAACUGACGCUGAUGCACGAAAGCGUGGGGAGCGAACAGGAUUAGAAACCCCAGUAGUCC
rnacentral:rRNA from 1 species